rnacentral:lncRNA from 1 species
UUUGAAACCUCAAAUAGUCACUUAUAUUUAUAUAUCAUUUUUAGAUUGUUAACUAGCAUUUUGUCUAUGUUAUGUCAAUGAAACUAUUCCAUCCCAUGUCAAGGCAUGUUGAUAUUUUUGCAAGUAUAGAAGAAACAUGAAUUUUGCAAUUGUGUAUACACCUUUUACAUAUUUUGUCUUUUACAUAUUUUGCAAUUGUUUAAACAUGAAUUUUGUCUUUGUUAUGUCAAUGAAACUAUUCCAUCCCAUGUCAAGGCAUGUUGAUAUUUUUGCAAGUAUAGAAGAAACAUGAAUUUUGCAAUUGUUUAUACACCUUUUACAUAUUUUGUCUUUUACAUAUAUAUUUUGCAAUUGUUUAAACAUGAAUUUUGAUUUUUGUUAUGUCAAUGAAACUAUUCCAUCCCAUGUCAAGGCAUGUUGAUAUUUUUGCAAGUAUAGAAGAAACAUGAAUUUUGCAAUUGUGUAUACACCUUUUACAUAUUUUGUCUUUUACAUAUUUUGCAAUUGUUUAAACAUGAAUUUUGUCUUUGUUAUGUCAAUGAAACUAUUCCAUCCCAUGUCAAGGCAUGUUGAUAUUUUUGCAAGUA